AUUGAACGCUGGCGGAAUGCUUUACACAUGCAAGUCGAGCGGCAGCGCGGGGCAACCUGGCGGCGAGCGGCGAACGGGUGAGUAAUACAUCGGAACGUACCCAGUUGUGGGGGAUAGCCCGGCGAAAGCCGGAUUAAUACCGCAUACGGCCUGAGGGUGAAAGAGGGGGAUCGCAAGACCUCUCGCAGUUGGAGCGGCCGAUGGCGGAUUAGCUAGUUGGUGGGGUAAAGGCCUACCAAGGCGACGAUCCGUAGCGGGUCUGAGAGGACGACCCGCCACACUGGAACUGAGACACGGUCCAGACUCCUACGGGAGGCAGCAGUGGGGAAUUUUGGACAAUGGGGGCAACCCUGAUCCAGCCAUUCCGCGUGAGUGAAGAAGGCCUUCGGGUUGUAAAGCUCUUUCGGCAGGAACGAAACGGUCUUUUCUAAUACAAGAGGCUAAUGACGGUACCUGAAGAAGAAGCACCGGCUAACUACGUGCCAGCCGCCGCAGUAA
rnacentral:rRNA from 1 species